UGGAAAUUCACUGCAGUUAUUUUCUUCAUCUCCCAAUAAUCAACCUCAACAACAUCCCUCAGUCCUAGGAACUUCCUAGAUGGAGUUUGGUCUCUAGACUAGCUAUGGGAUAUCAUAACAGCUAUGAAGGAAUAGAAUCAUUUUGUGACUUUAACCUAUUAGCCCUCUAGUACUGGCCUUAAACAGAGAGACAGGUUUAAAAAACAAAGCCCAUGACUCAAGUUAAGGACUCCAGAGCCUGGAAACUCUCUCUCAGGAUUGAUACCUCUGUUGUUUUUUCAGGACUUAAUGUUAGGAACAUGGGUUCUCUAUAUUGGGGGAGUAUUAUGGAAUGAAUUGUGUCUCCACAAAAUUCAUGUGCUGAAGUCCUAACCUCAGAAUGUGAUUGUAUUUGGAAUGAGGGCCUUUAAAAGAUAGUUAAGGUAAAAUGAGGUCAUAUGGAUGGGCCCUAAUCCAAUAUGACUGGUGUCUUUUAAGGAGAAGAGAUUAGGACACAGAUAUACCAAAGGUAGAUCAUGUAAAGAUACCAGAAGAGAAUGGCCAUCUACAAGCCAAAAAAAAAGCGGUCUUCAAAGAAACCAACCCUGCCAACACCUUAAUCUCAGACUUCAGCCUCCAGAAUUAUGAGAAAAUUAAUUUCUGUUGUUUAAGCCACCCAGCUGGUGUACUUUGCUAUGUAAUUCCAGAAAACUAAUAUAGGGAGAGUUAUUAAGACAUGUCUCAUAUUUCUGCCCUUUCCUAUUGCCUCCAACCAGAUUGUAUCUGCUUCCCUGUGUCUACUUGCUGGCUUGGAACUUAUUAAGAUUGGAUCCUUCCUGGAAGAAAUUUGCUGAUGGAGGCAGAAGGACACUCAGAAUUGAAACUGGCUAUAAGAACAUAAGAAAAAGACCCCUGAAACUAGGAAAGAAAGCUUCAAAGAGAUGGUCAUUUAGACAUUUUUAAAGAAUGAGAGGAAUUGUUGGAGAAGAUUGGCAUGGGAGAAGAGAAUUGAAGCAGAGGGAACAGCAUGUACAAAGGUACAAAGAUGUGAAACAGAAUGACCCGCUGGAGGAACUACAUCCUACUGACUAGAAUAUAGUGUCCAUGUGGGCCUGUGGCACAAGGAGAGAUAGGAACCCAAACCCGGUUGGAAAAUACGUGGGCCUGUGGCACAAGGAGAGAGAGGAACCCAAACCCGGUUGGAAAAUACAAUCUGGGAGGCAGCUGCGGGGUGUGGAGGAGCCUCAGGUUAUUCACUAUCUACAGCAUGCCCAGGUAGAGUGGUUUCAGCAGUCAGAGAGUGCCCUCAGGCAAAGAAUAGCAGCUGCUGACAGCUGGAAAUUGUAAUCCAUGGUAAUGGUUGCAGCUGAGAUGUGGGUGGGUACCCCCAGCAUCUCCUAGAUCAACCAUACAUUUGUGUGAGCCAUUUGGUUUUCUCUAGUAGGUCUUGAUUUAAGUUCCUGAACUCUGCCCACCACCACCAGCAGCCAUGACUUCUUGGCAAGACUCCAAACCCCUCCCUACCUUCACUCUUUAGGUAAGUUGUUUAAAGAUGCUAUGCCUCCUUGGGAAUUUCAUUGAUUUCCAUGUUCCAUUCUGCCUGUUCAGCCUCUGCCAACCACUGUCCUGGACUCUCUGGCAGACUGUGCCUUCCUGGUUCUUGUUGGUUACUGGUUGCUUACUGGUUGCAGCCCUAUACCUGUUCUUGAACCCCAACUAUUGACCCUGUCCUAGGUUUAGUUUACUAACAUGGUCUAAAUUCUAGUACAGUGAUAACUUGAAGAAGCUCAGGCCUAACUUACUAACCAUAAUAUCUUACCCUAUUGGAACUGAGCUUUUCCCAAAGAGUACCUCCAGUGUCUUCGCUCCAUCAGGAUCAGUCAGUCCUACCCUCACCCAACUAUCUAUAGCCCUAAAGGACCACUGAUCAUGGCAAGUUAAGGCAAUUAUCAAUAAGGAAGAACAAUGAUAAAGUAUUAGAAGAAGUUAAGUUAAAACCUUGUGUUGCUGAAUUUGAAAUAGAGAAGUAUCAAUAUUAACUUGUAAGGUAUUUUAUCUUUUAAAAAUUCCCUUGCUCUGUCCACUGAAAAGCCAAGAAAUAAUGAUCAACCUAGUAUCAAUGAAUAUCUCUAGAGCCAAUAUUGUGAAUCUGAAAUCUAUUUUCCAUUAAAAGAAAUCAUGGCUGAUUCUAGAUCUAGGGCAGGAAAUGUACAAGAUGAGUCUGGAACAUCUUAUAAUAGAAAGGAAGGAAGGAAGCUACACAUGAUCAUUAGGUGUAGGGUCCAGCCCUACAGGGCUUAGCAGGUGUUCUCCCCGUGUGCAAAGAUGAGAGAUUGUAAGAAAUAAAGACACAAGACAAAGAGAUAAAGAGAAAACAGCUGGGCCCGGGGGACCACUACCACCAAGACACAGAGACCGGUAGUGGCCCUUCCCUUUUAGGUAGCCGAAGCAAAGAGGGAAGGCAGUAUAUGUCAGCGUUUUCUUCCAUGCACUUAUAAGAAAGAUCAAAGACUUUAAGACUUUCACUAUUUCUUCUACCGCUAUCUACUAUGAACUUCAAAGAGGAACCAGGAGUAUGGGAGGAACAUGAAAGCGGACAAGAAGCGUGACCAUUGAAGCACAGCACCACAGGGAGGGGUUUAGUCCUCCGGAUGACUGUGGGCAGGCCUGGAUAAUAUCCAGCCUCCCACAAGAAGCUGGUGGAGCAGAGUGUUCCCUGACUCCUCCAAGGAAAGGGAGAUUCCCUUUCGCGGUCUGCUAAGUAACGGGCGCCUUCCCAGGCACUGGCAUUACCGCUUGACCAAGGAGCCCUCAAGCAGCCCUUAUGCGGGCGUGACAGAGGGCUCACCUCUUGCCUUCUAGGUCACUUCUCACAAUGUCCCUUCAGUACCUGACCCUAUACCUGCCGGUUAUUCCUAGGUUAUAUUAGUAAUGCAACAAAGAGUAAUAUUAAAAGCUAAUGAUUAAUAACAUUUAUACCAAUGAUUGAUAAUUGUCCACGAUCAUCUCUAUAUCUAAUUUGUAUUUUUUUAUUCCAACUAUUUUCUUUAUUAUACUGCUACAGCUUGUGCCUUUGGUCUCCUGCCUCGGCACCUGGGUAAUCCUUCACCCACAAUUAGGGCCAUGUUAAAGGAAUUCAGGAGUCACUUAUUAGCAAAGACAGAAUAAUUGGAGCACAAGCAUCAAGAAGAAUAAAAACUGAAAUCAUUUGAAAUGCACCAAAUUAUGUUUGAAUCCAUGGGUUUAAAAUGUUACCUUUUUAAAAAACUCUAUUUGAUCACCUGUGGAGUAUGAUUAGGAAGCAACUUAACUAUUUUGAGAACUUUUAAAUAAAGGGAAAGAAUCAGACACUUGUUCUGCCUUUCGUAUAUGAACUGAAUUAUUAGGUAGCCAAAUAGUCAGGGGAGGGGUCUUUUAAUAGACAUUAAAGCUAAUAAAUUAAGAAACAGUGAUUGAAUUCAAAUAUCAUUUGAAACCCUUAAUAUGUUAAUAGAACUAGGCAAUUAGCAUCAAUGGCUGCUAACAUACACACACACACACACACACAUACCCACACACACACAUCACACACACAUACAUGACAUUAUGUGCUAUUUGGUAAAAGGACACAACACAGUAUCAUCUCCAAAGUAGUCUUGCCAAAAAAAAUCAAACCUAUCUAAUCAAAUCUCUAAAUCCAACUACUAAUUUACAGAAAAUACAAGUGAGAGGGAACAUGCUAAACUACACCAUACAAUGUAAUUAACAAAAUUCAUACUGUAGGAAUCUAUUAAUGAAGCAAUUUAGUUUAUUCAACAAAUAAAGUGCAAGGUGAAAGAAGAAUAUGGCGAAUUAUAGAUUAAAAGAGAUUUAAAAGACAUCAUUUUUUAAACUGAUAAAACUUAACUAUAGUGUUUAGGGAUGCACCCUGGAGUGAUAAAGCAUUUUUAAAAAGCAAAGAAGCCUAGUGCAUUACAAGAAUUACUAAAGGACUGGAAGAGUCUGGGUUUUUAUUUUGUAAUAUUUCUAAAACUGAGUCCCUUGAAUGCAAAUCCCCCCCAAAAAAAAUAGAAGGGAUUUUUUUUUUUUUUUUUUAGAAGGAGUUUUGCUCUUGUUGCCCAGGCUGGAGUCCAAUGGCACGAUCUUAACUCACUGCAACCUCUGCCUCCCGGG
rnacentral:lncRNA from 1 species